GUGCUUGCUUCAGCAGCACAUAUACUAAAAGUGGAAUGAUAGAGAUUUGCAUGGCCCCUGUGCAAGUAUGACACACAAAUGUGUAAAGUGUUCCAUAUUUUU
rnacentral:snRNA from 1 species